AUACGGAGGGUGCAAGCGUUAUCCGGAUUUAUUGGGUUUAAAGGGUGCGCAGGCGGAAUGAUCAGUCAGUGGUGAAAUCCUACAGCUCAACUGUAGAACUGCCAUUGAUACUGUCAUUCUUGAGUACAAUUGAAGUGGGCGGAAUGUAUCAUGUAGCGGUGAAAUGCAUAGAUAUGAUACAGAACUCCGAUAGCGAAGGCAGCUCACUAAAUUGUAACUGACGCUCAGGCACGAAAGCGUGGGGAGCAAACAGGAUUAGAAACCCUAGUAGUCC
rnacentral:rRNA from 1 species